GGGCUUUUUUUCAUUAAUUAUUACAACCAGGAAACAUUUUCUCCUCUUUCAUUACCACCCCAACCCUGAGCCAAGUAUUAAAUAAGACUUAAUUUAAUUAGUUCUCACAUUCUCCCGUCUUGUAGGACUACUCAGUAACACAAGGUCCUCACCCAGCUCCCUUUCCUGCAGUCAGAUAAAAUCCUGCUGAUGGCACUGGGAACGUUCAGGCUCCUCAUUUACAUGCACAGUGAGGUGCCGUGAGACGCAGAGACAUUUCUAGCCCAGCUCACCUCAGCUCUGCCAUGCUCAGCUCUCCAAGGGGCUCGGCGGCAGAUGCUCCCCGUCUUCCUCUCACCCCCAGGUCUCCCCUGGGUCACCCAGACCUGCAGCAGAGAGCUCGGGGUUCACAGAGCAGUGAGCACUGCUGGCACCACCCCCUCCCUUCUCUCACCUUUUGGCACCGACGGAGGUGAGCUGGUUGUCCUUAGUUUUGUACUGAAGGGAGAGGGGAGGCGGGGCUCCAUCCUCUGCCACUCUGAAGGUGCUGGACCCAGCGCGGGAUGGGGCAAUCAGCCCUUCGGACAGCCACGGGCACGCAUCCUGCUCUAUCCUGUGCAGAUGCACGGUGAGACCCCCCAGUGAGACAGAGGUACCCCAGCAGAGGUGGCACCACAGCUACUUGUGUGGUGGUCACGGCAGCCGUAGCAAAUGGAAUCAGAGCAGGCUGGUAGCAGCUGCCAGGUGGGUUCCACAAUAGGGCCAGCUCUCUGCAAGGUUUUCAUUGAUGGCUCAGAGAUGGGAUGUGAGCACACAUUAAGUUUGCUGACAACACUCCAAUGGGAGGAGCUUAUGGUUCCCAGGAGGGCAGGAAGGCCUCUCAGGGAGUUCAUAACAAAUCAAAGGGCAGGGCCACCACCAGCUGCAUGAAGUGUAACGAGAGCAAGCAUUGGAUGCUGCACCUGUCAAGGGGCAGCCCUGGCUGUAUGGACAGACCGGGUAAUGAGAAGCUUCCCUGCAGCAAGGCUGCACGUUCAGUCUGAGCCAGCAGUGUGCCUGGAACCCAAAGGGCCAACUGUACCCAGGGGGACACCAGGCCCAGUGCUGCCACUGGGCAAGGAGAGGGAUCGUCCACUGUGUUCUGUGCUGUGCAUCCUCACCUCCAGCACUGCGUGAGGGUUGGGUGCCACAGUGCCAGAAGGACAGAAGCUCCAGCUGAGACAGUGAUCAACCUGUUAUUCCCACUCUACAUGGAUGUGACGCACAGCUUCUCCUUGCCAGGAGAAGGGAUGGGAGAAAGAACUUUGCUCCUGUCUUUACUGCAUCCAAUCUCAUUCGCGUUAGAUUAAAACCACCUCAUUGCCUGAGAAAAGCCAAACCUGGAUCUUCCUGUCACAGAGCUCACAGCCCCGCUGCUGCUGCAGACCAGCACGUGUCCUUCCCAUCACCGGAGCCCAGGGAGGUGCUGGGGAGAGGUCAGGCUCGAGGAGCUGCCGCUGGUUUUGCUUUGCAGGGGCACCUUAUCCUGUGCAGGCAGCAGCAGAUGACCUGGAGAAGGCAGAAAGUGAGAGGGAAGGAGGAGGGGGGGCUGUGGGCGAAGGCGUAGGUGGUGCCGCGUCGCACGCUCCUGCUGGAGCCGGGAAGGGAUGUAGAGCGCCCGCUUCGCAGUCCUACGCGCUCCCUGGGACCAUCUGUCCUCCCCCAGGCGGCAGCCCCGGGUCGGGCGAGGGGUCCUGCCGGGGGGGGAAGGGGAGAGGGGCAGGCGGUGCUGGAGAGCACGAGCCUUCCUGCGCUGCCCUGAACGGCUUUCAGCAGCCUGCACGGAGCGGAUUUCACAGCCGUUUAAGAAAUAGGGACCUUCGCGUGAAGAGCUGGAUGGCUGUGCCCGAAUUCAAAGGAGGACCCGGGCUUCUUCCUCUGCACAGCCCCGCCGCCUGCCUCACAGGCUCUGCUGUCUCCCACGGAGAUGAGGACGGAGCUCUCCGAGUUCCCCACACUCACGCAAAUGGCUGGAAAGGAUUCAACGCGGGGCUGGGCGCCUACAGAACAGCCAAAGCCUGGCUGUGCCGGCACAGCUGCGGCAGGCAACGCUGUUCCCCCCGAGCGGACUCGCUCCGAAGCUCCCCGUGAAGCGCAGCGUUUGGGUGCAGCAGCAGCCGGAAGGGC
ensembl:lncRNA